rnacentral:rRNA from 1 species
ACGUAGGGUGCAAGCGUUAAUCGGAAUUACUGGGCGUAAAGCGUGCGCAGGCGGUUUUGUAAGUCUGUCGUGAAAUCCCCGGGCUCAACCUGGGAAUGGCGAUGGAGACUGCAAGGCUGGAAUCUGGCAGAGGGGGGUAGAAUUCCACGUGUAGCAGUGAAAUGCGUAGAGAUGUGGAGGAACACCGAUGGCGAAGGCAGCCCCCUGGGCUAAGAUUGACGCUCAUGCACGAAAGCGUGGGGAGCAAACAGGAUUAGAUACCCUGGUAGUCCACGCCCUAAACGAUGUCUACUAGUUGUCGGGUCUUAAUUGACUUGGUAACGCAGCUAACGCGUGAAGUAGACCGCCUGGGGAGUACGGUCGCAAGAUUA